UCCGUUUUGUCAACGGCAGUCUCUCUAGAGUGCCCAACUUAAUGCUGGCAACUAAAGAUGAGGGUUGCGCUCGUUGCGGGACUUAACCCAACAUCUCUCAAGGAUUCCGUGGAUGUCAAGGCCAGGUAAGGUUCUUCGCGUUGCAUCGAAUUAAACCACAUACUCCACCGCUUGUGCAGGCCCCCGUCAAUUUCUUUGAGUUUUAAUCUUGCGACCGUAUUUCCCAGGCGGCAUAUUUAUCGCGUUAGCUUCGCCACAAAAGGGGUCGAUUCCUUUUACAGCAAAUAUGCACCGUUUACGGCUAGGACUAC
rnacentral:misc_RNA from 1 species